AGCUUUGCGCAGUGGCAGUAUGGUAGCCAAUGAGGUUUAUCCAAGGCGUGAUUAUUGCUAGUUAAAAUAGCCAAAAAAUAUAAGACAAAUUAGCUCUUUUGGAUUAAGUGUUCUAAAUUAAGGAAAAGUCUAACUAUGCAAAACAAGGAAAACUGAUU
rnacentral:snRNA from 1 species